rnacentral:rRNA from 1 species
GACGAAGCCCUGGGUCGCAAACGGGAUUAGAUACCCCGGUAGUCUAGGGUGUAAACGCUGCAGACUUGGUGUUGGGGGCCCUUCGGGGGCAUUCAGUGCCGGAGAGAAGUUGUUAAGUCUGCUACUUGGGGAGUACGUCCGCAAGGAUGAAACUUAAAGGAAUUGGCGGGGGAGCACCGCAACGGGAGGAGCGUGCGGUUUAAUUGGAUUCAACACCGGAAAACUCACCAAGGGAGACCAUCACAUGAAAGCCAGGCUAGUGACUUUGCUUGAUUCUUGGAGAAGUGGUGCAUGGCCAUCGUCAGUUCGUACUGUAAAGCGUUCUCUUAAGUGAGAUAACGAACGAGACCCUC